rnacentral:ncRNA from 2 species
AGAGUUAAACAGUACGUGAAAUUGCUGAGAGGGAAACGAUUGAAAUCAGCUUAGCCAGCUCAAAAUCAGUUACCACCCUGGUGGUGAUGCACUUUUGGGCUGGCGCGCCAAUGUCAGUUUUGUGCACUGGAAAAGGGCCGUGGGAAGGUAGCUCCUCGGAGUGUUAUAGACCAUGGCUACUGCAGUGUGUAAGACUGAGGCUGGCAACGCGUGCCUUUGGGCUGAAUCAGCAGUGUCUGGUGUGGUUGUGUCUAUAGACAGCAUGCUGACUAUGGACACACUCUGUGCCUGGUGCUGUGCAGUUACAAACGCGUUCAGGAUGUUGGCAGAAUGAUUUUAAACGACC